rnacentral:misc_RNA from 1 species
AAAGUCGUAACAAGGUUUCCGUAGGUGAACCUGCGGAAGGAUCAUUAAUGUGAUUGCCACUUGCCCCCAUUGGAGGCUGUGCGCAAGCUAUCCUUGUGUUAUGUGUAAACAGUCAUGUGUGCAGUGCCCACACUUUUAGGGGAUACCCCCUACAUUUGUGUACGCUGCAUUCAUUUUUUUCAACCCCUACAUUUUCUUUAUUUCUGACAAUCUUUGCUCAUACGAGCACAAACAAUCGAAAACUGCCAGCAAUGGAUCACUCGGUUCUC